rnacentral:lncRNA from 1 species
UAAAAUUGAAAAACAUGGCCACAACAAGCCCCCACCACUGCCCCACUAUUCGGCGACCAUCACCCCUAGCUGCUGCAACCAUCAAACUCAUUAACCAUAGCCGAUCAGACUCCAGCCAUCGUCGUAAAAAGUUGCCGCCAUGCAAAAACACCCAAACUUGCGAGCCACCACCCUAAAAUCCACCACUUACAGCCUUCCUCACAGUUGGUCGUGCAUAUCAUCAAACUUCCCUCUACUUCACAUCCAAUCCCAACCACCAAUGGAUCUGAUUAGCCGCUGUAAGGUCACUAUAAAGCCACCAUACAAAACCCUCAAAACCUACGAGUUUCACCUCUUUGAUCCACUUCCACUGCCAUGAAUCCAAUCCACAACCACCUUCAUGAUUUUCACCACUAUAUCUACUAGACCCGACUAUCACCUCGCCAAACCACAAUCACCAACCACCAGCCACACUAAACUCAAGAGUUGAGCCUUAUUUAUGAUUUUGCCAUUGAUUUUAUUCUUAAUUUGAAGGAAAAAAAUGAUAAAGAUAAAGUAUUAGGGUUC